UGUAUAAUGGGUCAGCGACUUAUAUUCUGUAGCAAGGUUAACCGAAUAGGGGAGCCGAAGGGAAACCGAGUCUUAACUGGGCGUUAAGUUGCAGGGUAUAGACCCGAAACCCGGUGAUCUAGCCAUGGGCAGGUUGAAGGUUGGGUAACACUAACUGGAGGACCGAACCGACUAAUGUUGAAAAAUUAGCGGAUGACUUGUGGCUGGGGGUGAAAGGCCAAUCAAACCGGGAGAUAGCUGGUUCUCCCCGAAAGCUAUUUAGGUAGC
rnacentral:rRNA from 1 species